GCAAACUUGGUCAUUUAGAGGAAGUAAAAGUCGUAACAAGGUCUCCGUUGGUGAACCAGCGGAGGGAUCAUUACCGAGUUUACAACUCCCAAACCCCUGUGAACAUACCUAUAAUUUGCCUCGGCAGACUCAACGACGGUGCUCCGAGAAAUCGGGCGCCGCUCGCUGCCAGAGGAACCCCAAACUCUAUGUAUUCUUGUGGAUCUUCUGAGUAAAACAAAACAAAUAAAUCAAAACUUUCAACAACGGAUCUCUUGGUUCUGGCAUCGAUGAAGAACGCAGC
rnacentral:misc_RNA from 1 species